rnacentral:rRNA from 1 species
UACGUAGGGCGCAAGCGUUGUCCGGAAUUAUUGGGCGUAAAGAGCUCGUAGGCGGUUUGUCGCGUCUGCUGUGAAAACCUAAGGCUCAACCUUGGGCUUGCAGUGGGUACGGGCAGACUAGAGUGCGGUAGGGGUGACUGGAAUUCCUGGUGUAGCGGUGAAAUGCGCAGAUAUCAGGAGGAACACCGGUGGCGAAGGCGGGUCUCUGGGCCGUGACUGACGCUGAGACGCGAAAGCGUGGGGAGCAAACAGG